rnacentral:rRNA from 1 species
GACUUAUUAAAUAGCCGCAAUUCGUGCUAAGGUAGCAUAAUCAUUUGUCUUUUAAAUGAAGACUAGAACAAAAGAUUUAACAAUUUAAUUUAUAUAUUUAAUAUAUAUAAUUAAAAUUCUCUUAAGUAUAAAAAGAUACUUAUGAUUAAGAUAGACGACAAGACCCUAUUGAACUUAACUUUAGUUAAACUGGGGCAGUUAAUUAAUUAUAAUUUUAAUUAAAAUAUAUAUACAUCCAUCUAUAUAAUAUAAUUUCAUUCAGUUACCAUAGGGAUAACAGCGCAAUUAAAUUUUAGAGCCCUUAUCUAAAGAAUAGAUUACGACCUCGAUGUUGAAUUAAUAACCUAUUUUAAAGCAAAUUUUAAAAAAGGAAGUCUGUUCGACUUUUAAAUAAUUACAUGAUUUGAGUUCAGACCGGKGUAAACCAGGUCGGUUUCCAUCUUCUAUUCUACUUUUACAGUACGAAAGGACCUAAAAAUCUUUUAUUUUUAAUUGGCAGAAAAAUGCAUUAGAAUUAGAAUCUAAUUAAACUAAA